UGUUGCACAUGCUGCUGCAAACUUUGCAGUGCAAAGCCAGGCCGGGGAGCCAUCUUAAGUUGAGGCUGCAUAGGUCUUGUGGUGCAUGUGAUUCAGAUUCUAUUCAGUUGAACCUCUGGUUACAAAGUUGGUUGGACAGUGUUCUCGAAGCUACCCAGCAUGAGUUUGACCAGACUGCAGAAGGACAGGAAGACUGGAGUGCCUGGAACAGGUGAGGCUGCAGGUCCCUUAUUUUGGCUGCUGGUCCCUUAUUUUCAAAUCUGUAAGUUGACAGCUAUGGUUGAAGCCGUCCAGGGUGGCUGGGGCAACCCAGUCAAAUGGGUGGGGUGCAUAAUAUUAGGCCUGGCACCUUCAUUAUAAAAAGUAUACUGUACACCUUUAGGUGCCAGACAAAAACGACCCUCUUUAACCAGGCCUUUGGUUGAUUUGAUUGAUAUCCUACGCCCUUUUAAAAUGUGUUGGGGGGUGUUAUGGGGUUGUUUGUUUUUAUUUGAUUAUGUAUUUUGUGGUUUUAUAUUCUGAUGUUAUGUUGUGAACCGCCCUGGGUAUAAGGCAGUAUAUAAAUUCAAUAAAUUAUUACAGUACUAUCAUCAUCAUCAGUGCUGUUUCUCUAGAAAAAGAGGUCCUGGAACUUGUCACAAACGCCUUCCUUGUUCUCUUAUACAGUCAAACCUCGGUUUUCGAAUGUCUCAGCUGCUGAACAUUUCAGAAGCCAAACGCUGAAAACCCGGAAGUGAAUGCUUCCAUUUUCGAACACGCCUCAGAAGUCAAAUGGCUUCCGAGGCGCGUUUGUCAUUCCCCCCCCAACUUUGCAUCCAGCCCUUUGAUCCUCAGUUUUCGAAUGUUUCAGAAGUCGAAUGGACUUCAGGAACAGAUUACCUUCAAAAACUGAGGUUUGACUGUAAUGGCAAUGACGCCCACCUGAGAGGUGCCGGAACUGAGUUCCAGCUGAAAAAAAAAGCCAUGAUGAUGAUGAUAUAUGGUUUUAUUUAGACAUAUAUACAAUCUGCACCCAGAUGAAAGCAUUGCAGAACAUACACAUCUUGUGAGGGCCUGGUUUCCCCCUUAAGGGCAGCAGUGGAUUCAAAGGACAGCAGAAAGUGCAUACAGUGGUACCUCGCGUUAAGUACUUAAUUCGUUCCGGAGGUCUGUUCUUAACCUGAAACUGUUUUUAACCUGAGGUACCACUUUAGCUAAUGGGGCCUCCCGCUGCUGCCGGAGCACAAUUUCUGUUCUCAUCCUGAAACAAAGUUCUUAACCCAAGGUACCAUUUCUGGGUUAGCGGAGUCUGUAACCUGAAGCGUCUGUAACCUGAGGUACCACUGUAGUGCUACAUUGAAAAUGUAGUUUGACUUUCAGAUGCACCCUCCACUGGCCACUUCAUGUAUUGGAACAAAGGCUAUCAUGUGUUUUGCAGCAGAAACUGACAUAUGCCUACUCUGAAGUCGUACAGAGUUCAAUGAGGUUUACUUCCUGGCACAAGUGGUACAAGUGUAUAGGAUCGCGACCCUAACCAAACAAACACCAGAAGCUUGACACAAAGAAGAAAGGUUGAAUUGGUUUUAGUUCCCUUCAUACUCACACACCCUUGUGUUUCAAAAGGUUUGAGUCCAUGUCUGCAGAACAGAAUGUUAAUCUGAAGGUUUUUCCUGCAUGACAUUGUGCACAACUGGCUCUUACUAGUAUCUAUGUAUAGUUUGUCAUAUUAAUACCUUACAUAUAUAUCUAAAUGUGUGAAACAUCCUCAAGUAUUUUGACAUGAAGCAAGAUGCAUAUUUAAAUAAAUAUCUAGGUUCUUUUUCCAGACUUAAUUUCAAAGAUAAUUUUGUGUUACUAUCAAGGACCUCUGUCUCAACAUAAGUCUCAUAAACCAACACUAAGCCUUAAUAAUUAGUUAGUUCCAUAUUUUUCUGGACUAUUCACAGUUUGUGCCCAUUAUUUUCUGGAUGCUUCUAGGGCAAUCCGCAAUCCAUUUUCCCAGUGUUAUUGCCUCAGCCAUUCAUUUGAACAUGCUUUAAUUUGAUCCUCAGUUUAAAAUUUUCCAAAUGCCAAAAUGCAGAACCAGCCCUUUGAGGUUUAGGGCAUGUUACCAUGUGAUUAAGUGCCUCAGGAUACUUCUUAGUGAGUACAGGUGCCCUAAGAAGAACAUUAGAACAAUUGAAGAUCCUAAAUUCUUUAUCUUUGUUUAGAUCAGAAUAAUCUGAGACCCCAUGCAGUUUUAUGCCACACCAAGGAAACAAUUUGUCUUGUAUGAGACAGUUAAGGUAAAUACCAGUUAAAUAUAGUAUGAGAGGGCCUAUUAUACCACACAUUGUAUAAUCCCAGCUUGAAGGCUGAACUGAAAACAUGUACAGUAGGCAUAUUUGUGGUUUGGAAAAGCUAAAGGAGGAGAAAUAGUGUGGGGGGGAAAGAUGGAAAUAUGUUGGGCAGUCACUAUGGGAUUGGAGAACAUUCAGUUACAGUUGAGACAUCAAAACAACGAUAAAACAACCCACAACCGUUUUCUUUCUAAAUACACCAAACUUAAUUUUUCAAUCAAUUUUUAUUACAGUCUAUUAAUUUUAUUAUUUCAUUCUAGCUUAAAUUAACCAUUUCCAAUCAUUUUGUUCCAUCUAAAAUGAAUUAUUUCUGAACACGAAUAACCCCAAAACUAUACCUUGUAUCUUAUAUUCCAGAUGUGGUCUCACUAAUGCCAGUACAAAGAAAGCAUCAGUUCUUCGCAAAUAAAAACACAUCACAAAAUGCAUCCAGGAUUUACAUCCACUGUAUUUAGAGCUACAUCACACUUAGUCAUCAUGAUUAUCUGAUACCCUGAGACCUUUUGACCUCUAUUAUUUUGAACCAAUGAAGCACCCAGGCAUAAUAAAAAUGCUUAGUUGUUCCCAAAUGCAUGACAUUGUAAUAUUGAACUUUUUUUCCUUCUAUUAUUUGCACCAUCAUUUGACAGCAUGUGCUUAGUGGCUGGAAACACCAUUAAUAAUUCUUAAGUGAGUCACAGACAUUUGUGGUUUUAAUAACGACUGGAAGUCUGAUUGCCCUGCCUAAUUUAUUAUGAGUGUGCUCUCUUUGUAAUGGCAUUAGAAGCUACGGUAUUAUAAUCAAGGCUUUAUUUCAGAGCUGCUAAAUAUAGUUACUGCCCUCCUACAAGUUUAUAGAUAGUCUCCUACAUAUUUGCAGCAAUCAAAGAAGUUAUUGUUUAACACUCUUUGUCUCUUUGUUCACAGCUGGCAAUCUUUUGCUUGAGGUUUUUUGUUUUUGGGUACAAAAAAGUGUUGAUUUGUAAAAAUAGGGUGCAGUGCAGAUCCAUUUAACUUUAACAUCCAAUUUAAAUGUUAAAUUCAUGGGAUUUUAUAAUUGGCUUCUAGGGGAUGUAAAUUGCACCCUAGUUUGGUAAGCACAGCAAAUAGAUUCAUACCAGCAUCUCUCAUUUGCUGCCUACAUUUUCUUUUUCUUUAAAGCAGCUUGUAAUAUUUUCUGUAAAUGUAAAUUGUUAAAUAUUUUUAUCUAUGCUACACCAUAUGUUCAUAGAUAUAGAUAUAGAUAUAGAUCCUAUAUAUAUAUUAUCCUAUAUGUACACAGUGUGGUGUGUGAGAGGACCGGGGUUUUGCUGCUUUGACUUGGAUGCGUAUUCCUAAUCAUUACCAUUUUAAAACAUAGCAAGAAGUGUAAAUUGGAUGUAUGCAAUGUGCUGCCAGGAGGGGAAAAAACGUAACAAUGUAUUUUAAAUGAGCUACCGUAUUUUUUGCACCAUAACACUCACUUUUUUCCUCCUAGAAAGUAAGGGGAAAUGUCUGUGCGUGUUAUGGAGGGAAUGCCUACGGGUGGCAUGCCUACGCAUUUUCCUCCUCUAAAAACUACGUGCGUGUUAUGGUCGGGUGCGUGCUAUAGAGCGAAAAAUACGGUAUAUACUGUAUGUUGGGCAUUUUCUUCACUAUCUCCAGUCUUCUCAGAGAGAUUGCCAAAUUAGAAGUUGGCUACAACUUGGAAAAUAGCAUACAUUUAAUAGAAUGUUUAAAGAGCAACGAGAAAGUAUUCAAGAAACUUGGCAAAUAUUAAAAUACAGCCCAAAAAAAUUUAAAAAUGUACCAAACAACUAUUCAACAUCCUUUUGUACCCUGAUCACACUUAAAAUUACCUGGAACAUUAGGUCUGAUUUGUUGUAAAUUGGAUGUUCAGGAUCUCUGAGACAAAUAAAAUAGGGCGUUGGGGAGUCCCAUUCAGCUCAAUCAGUUAAAAGUUGCUUUCACACCUUUAUGUUGUGUUUCUUUAGAGUUAAAAUUGAGACUGAUUCAACCAAAACUGAUGUUCCGGGUCUUAGACUCCACAGUACUGGUACAGGAAGG